ACAUACGACCAUAGGCUGCAGAGAACUCGGGAUCCAGUCCGCUCUCCCUUAGAUAAGCUGCAAACCUCUGGAUUAGUAGUUGAGUGGGUGACCAUCAGCGAAUACCCAGUGCCGUAUGUU
rfam:Pseudomassariella vexata strain CBS 129021 BCR38scaffold_14, whole genome shotgun sequence.